GGACAACUGGAUUUUGCCAUGGAUGGUGAACUGAGCCAAGGUUUGACCCUACAGUCUCUUCCUGACUCAUUUUUUCAGUUUAUCAUUAAUUAUCAUAUAAAUAAACUGAACAUCAACUUGCUAGAAUUGUUGAACAUGUUGAAAAUAAUAGAGAGCCAUUUUUAGGGUGAAAAGGCUCAGGUUCUUCAUGUUGAUAAGAUCAGCAAGAAGAAGGCAAAGAAUGAUUUCAAGAAAAAAUUGAACCCUAAGGCUGGCAUCUC
rnacentral:lncRNA from 1 species